UUAGUAUUACCUCCGUCUCAAAAUUCUUGUCUUACAUUUGUCUAGAUAUGGAUGUAUCUAACACUAAAACAUGAGUAGAUACAUCAAUAUUUAGACAAAUUUAAGACAAUAAUUUUGGGACGGAGGAAGUAUAAU
rfam:Hordeum vulgare subsp. vulgare, WGS project CAJW01000000 data, contig: morex_contig_36889